AACGAACGCUGGCGGCGCGCCUAAUACAUGCAAGUCGAGCGGGAAGGUGUAGCAAUACACUUGUAAAGCGGCGAACGGGUGAGGAAUGCAUGGGUAACCUACCCUCGAGUGGGGAAUAACUAGCCGAAAGGUUAGCUAAUACCGCAUACGUUUCCGGAACUUCGGUUUCGGAAAGAAAGCAAUACCGUGGGUAUUGCGCUCCUGGAUGGGCUCAUGUCCUAUCAGCUUGUUGGUGAGGUAACGGCUCACCAAGGCUUCGACGGGUAGCUGGUCUGAGAGGACGAUCAGCCACACUGGCACUGCGACACGGGCCAGACUCCUACGGGAGGCAGCAGUAAGGAAUAUUGCGCAAUGGACGAAAGUCUGACGCAGCGACGCCGCGUGGGGGAUGAAGGUCUUCGGAUUGUAAACCCCCUUUCGGGAGGGAAGAUGGAGUGGGUAACCACUUGGACGGUACCUCCAGAAGCAGCCACGGCUAACUUCGUGCCAGCAGCCGCGGUAAU
rnacentral:rRNA from 1 species